UCCGUAAAAGUGAAACUUGAAAAUGUAUUUUUUAACUAUUCGUCAUCAUAGGAUUACUGGCCGAUGAAUGUGAAUAAAGCGUACUUUAUUAUAAUAUUGUAUACCGAUAAAGCACAUUUAUCACGCAAAAACGUUGAACAUCGUUUUCUAUCAUGGCAAGGAAUAGCAUACACAAAGAAACAUAACAUAUGUUAACCCACAUUAUCCUGCUAGCCUUAAACACAAGCUCCACUACUCCAGCUUUCACGACGAAACCUCCAGCUGGUUCGAAGGACAUUUCGAUUUGGACCACGAAAUCUAUUCUCCACACUCGCAUACAACUUCUCAAUCUUAUAACAUUUCUAUAUUAUCAAUGGGAGAUAGAAACACAAGUCUAUUAACCUAUUAAAUGGAGACAAAACGAAUAUCGGGGAAGAAAGUGCUAUCGUCUCUAUCUCGGUCUAGGUAACAACUUUUAAGGAUUUAUAAAAUUCUUUCAUCGAUUAGCUUGAAUCGAAUUGUUAAAAAGAACGAAAAAUAAUAUAGGGACAAAAAGUAAGAUAAAGCAUUUUAAAAUAUAUGAUUUCCUAUAUUCAAAGUUUCAAAUAGUACGGCGUGUGCUGAAGUAUAUAUGAAUCCAUACAUUUAAUGAUUCCAUAGAAAGUAUGCGGUUAUGAAAAAACGUUGACGCUACAAUAUAAUUCAUCUUCUUGAUACAAUAAUGAUAUUCACUGUAAUCACUUUUCAUUAGUUUUCGAUCUCUACUUAACAAUUUAUCUACUUCAUUUUUGG